UUUUUUUUUUUUUUUUUAAUGACUGCAGUAUUCAUUUUAUUUUUAUAUUAUUUAUUUAUUCUUCCUUAGUUUCUUGAGAUUAUCAUCCGCUGAGGGUGGAAGGGGAGUGAGCAGACACACUCAGGAGGUGUCUUGAGAUUAUCAUCCGCUGAGGGUGGAGCUGAGGGUGGAAGGGGAGUGAGCAGACACUCGGGAGGUGUCUUGAGAUUAUCAUCCGCUGAGGGUAGAGCUGAGGGUGGAAGGGGAGUGAGCAGACACUCGGGAGGUGUCUUGAGAUUAUCAUCCGCUGAGGGUAGAGCUGAGGGUGGAAGGGGAGUGAGCAGACACUCGGGAGGUGUCUUGAGGCUCAGGGAGUUAUCAAUUAUAGAAUGUUGUUGAGUUGGAGGAGGUGGCUGGUGGCCCAUCCUGUUUUUUAAAGUUUCAGCUGUG
rnacentral:lncRNA from 1 species